rnacentral:rRNA from 1 species
AAUGAACGCUGGCGGCGUGCCUAAUACAUGCAAGUCGUGCGGCAGCAUGCCCUUCGGGGUGAUGGCGAGCGGCGGACGGCUGAGUAACGCGUAGGAAUCUACCCCAAAGUGAGGGAUAACCUCGAGAAAUCGAGGCUAAUACCGCAUAUGGUCUUCGGAUUAAAGGAUUUAUCCGCUUUGGGAAGAGCCUGCGUAAGAUU